UGAAGAAGACGCUGAAGGAAAAUCAACAGGGUAUUAUACAGAUGGAGGAACGGAAGCCACAACACCACCGGGCCCACCCAACCAGCCAGCCAGCCAAACCAAUCUGUCCAAGCCACGAUCCUACACUGUAGUAACACGAACAGAUAUGCCAGUCCUACUGAAUCGAAUGCCGAAUGGAAUAUGGAUGAAAGGGAAGAACAACAAAAAAAAAGGAAUCAACGGCUCAGCACGGAUAGCGAUAAAUUACAGCAGGGGACGGCGCAGAUCUCCCGCUCUCUCAGUAGAAGGCGGCGGCGGCGGCGGCCACGGCUGCGGCGGCGGCGAACCACUUGGCGGAGGGGGAGGCGCCGGCGACGGCGGCGCUGGGGGCUGGGGGAGCCUCCGCGGAGGGCGUCGGAGCGGGGCCCUCCGUGGGCAUCGGCGGGGAGCUCACGUCGGGAGUGGGAGCCUCGGCCGUGGGCGCCGGGGUGGGGGCCUCGGGCGCCGGGGCCGGGGCCUUGGGGGCGGGCGCGGGCGCCGGAGGAGGCAUGGUCGGGGGCGGCACGGGCGGAGACACCGGCGCGGGGGUCGGCGGCGGCGUCGCCGGCGGGGGGACGCCUUGGGAGCCGGCGUCGGGGUGGCGGUCGGGGCCUGCGCCGCCGCCGCGGCGAAGAGCAUGGCCAUGGCCACGGCUGCGAGCUGGAAGCGCGCCAUUGGAGCAGAGAGAGAGAGAAGGCUGGCUUGAGCUUGUUGUGGGAGCGAGGGCCGAGGGG
rnacentral:lncRNA from 1 species